AACGCAUAUUGCGCUCAAGGCCUCGGCCGAGAGCAUGUCUGCCUCAGCGUCGGUAUAACCCUCGCCUUACCCAUAGUAUGGCGGAGUUGGCCGUCUCGCUACCAGCCGGUCAUGCCGGUGAGCGGGUCGGUUAAAGCUAAGCGGCUACAGCAAACCCUUAUUGGGCGCUGGCUCGGUAGGUAGCUUAGGCUGCAUGCCGCCAGACCGCUCUGUGCUUUGUUGCAUGCCCACCUUACUUCUCAAUUCGACCUGAGUUCAGGCAAGAGCACCCGCUGAACUUAA
rnacentral:misc_RNA from 1 species